CUCUCUGUCUCUCUCUCUUUCUCUCUCUCUCUCUCUCUCUCUCUCUCUCUCUCUCUCUCUCUCUCUAUUUACACUCAGUAUAGUAUGAAAUAGUGUGAUUUCAGUCACAAUUCAACACAGCGGUUUCCCUCUGAAUCAAGGCCUGGGAUUCAAUCUGCAGCCGUGCGAUUGUCGAAUUCGAUCUCACCAAUGAGGUAGCAUUGGCUUUAAAAGCCGCAUUGUCUACAAGCACGAUCGGAUUGAAUCCCAGUCCAACACUGUGUAGAUCCAUGUUUCAUUGGGGUAUUUUUAUUGUUCAUGUUCACUUACUUGGAAACGUUGUUCAGAACUUGUUGUGUGGGCAUUUCACUAGCUUGCAGCACAAACCAACCGUGUGUAUUUUAAAGCUAAUGUAAUUGACAUGAUAAUACCAUUGCAUCUUGGGAUAGAGAUGUCUGAUCUGGACUGAGUUGGUAGGUUUUUUAUUUUUAAAUGUUACCCCUCGGUCAGUUCCUAGACUCCGAGCCGUAUAGAGUACCAUUUUAAUGAAUUUAGGAAACGUUCAGCUUUCAGGAAUGAAAAAGAAAAAAACAAAUAGGUUUUAAAUAGGUUUUAUUAUCUUCUCUACAAGCGCUAUAACAAAAACUAUUGUACAGCGUACAUUUUUGUAUGAAGUAGUGUUUUUAUUUACAAUUUUGAAAAAAUGAUUGUGUUCUUCUAGUGUCCCACCUUUUGAAUUUCUGUAGUUGAAAAUGAAAUUCAUAUGAUGCCUUUUUUUCUGAUUGUGCUUGUUAUGAUAGGACUGUGGACUGAAGUGGUGAGAUAGAUAGGUGAUAAGUGUACUGGGCUCUUGUUAUGAUAGGACUGAAGUGGUGGGAUAGAUAGGGGAUAACUGUACUGAGCUCUUGUUAUGAUAGGACUGUGGACUGAAGUGGUGAGAUAGAUAGGGGAUAACCGUACUGAGCUCUUGUUAUGAUAGGACUGAAGUGGUGGGAUGGAUAGGUGAUAACCGUACUGAGCUCUUGUUAUGAUAGGACUGUGGACUGAAGUGGUGGGAUGGAUAGGUGAUAACCGUACUGAGCUCUUGUUAUGAUAGGACUGUGGACUGAAGUGGUGAGAUAGAUAGGGGAUAACCGUACUGAGCUCUUGUUAUGAUAGGACUGUGGACUGAAGUGGUGAGAUAGAUAGGGGAUAACCGUACUGAGUUCUUGUUAUGAUAGGACUGAAGUGGUGGGAUGGAUAGGUGAUAACUGUACUGAGCUCUUGUUAUGAUAGGACUGAAGUGGUGGGAUGGAUAGGUGAUAACCGUACUGAGCUCUUGUUAUGAUAGGACUGAAGUGGUGGGAUAGAUAGGGGAUAACUGUACUGAGCUCUUGUUAUGAUAGGACUGAAGUGGUGGGAUAGAUAGGGGAUAACUGUACUGAGGUCUUGUUAUGAUAGGACUGAAGUGGUGGGAUAGAUAGGUGAUAACUGUACUGAGGUCUUGUUAUGAUAGGACUGAAGUGUUUGAUGGAUAGGGGAUAACCGUACUGGGCUCUUGUUAUGAUAGGACUGAAGUGGUGAGAUAGAUAGGUGAUAACCGUACUGAGCUCUUGUUAUGAUAGGACUGAAGUGGUGGGAUGGAUAUGUGAUAACCGUACUGAGCUCUUGUUAUGAUAGGACUGAAGUGGUGGGAUGGAUAGGUGAUAACCGUACUGAGCUCUUGUUAUGAUAGGACUGAAGUGGUGGGAUGGAUAGGUGAUAACCGUACUGAGCUCUUGUUAUGAUAGGACUGAAGUGGUGGGAUGGAUAGGUGAUAACCGUACUGAACUCUUGUUAUGAUAGGACUGUGGACUGAAGUGGUGGGAUGGAUAGGUGAUAACCGUACUGAG